rnacentral:rRNA from 1 species
UACGUAGGGUGCAAGCGUUGUCCGGAAUUAUUGGGCGUAAAGAGCUCGUAGGCGGUCUGUCGCGUCUGCUGUGAAAACUCAGGGCUUAACCCUGAGCUUGCAGUGGGUACGGGCAGACUAGAGUGCGGUAGGGGAGACUGGAAUUCCUGGUGUAGCGGUGAAAUGCGCAGAUAUCAGGGAGGGAACACCGGUGGGCCGAAAGGCGGGUCUCUGGGCCGUAACUGACGCUGGAGGAGCGAAAGCCAUGGGGAGCGAACAGG